AAACAUCGCCUCUUGCAAACUUAAUAAAUAAGAGGUCCCGCCUGCCCUGUGACUAUUAGUUUAACGGCCGCGGUAUUUUGACCGUGCGAAGGUAGCGCAAUCACUUGUCUUUUAAAUGAAGACCUGUAUGAAUGGCAUAACGAGGGCUUAACUGUCUCCUCUUUCCAGUCAAUGAAAUUGAUCUUCCCGUGCAGAAGCGGGAAUACACACAUAAGACGAGAAGACCCUAUGGAGCUUUAGACACCAAGGCAGAUCAUGUUAAUAACCCUGAAUAAAGGAUUAAACCAAAUGGAACCUGCCCUAAUGUCUUUGGUUGGGGCGACCGCGGGGAAUUGAAAAACCCCCACGUGGAAUGGGAGCACCCCUCCUACAGCUAAGAGCCACAGCUCUAGUAAACAGAAAUUCUGACCAGUAAGAUCCGGCAAUGCCGAUCAACGGACCGAGUUACCCUAGGGAUAACAGCGCAAUCCUCUUUUAGAGCCCAUAUCGACAAGGGGGUUUACGACCUCGAUGUUGGAUCAGGACAUCCUAAUGGUGCAGCCGCUAUUAAGGGUUCGUUUGUUCAACGAUUAAAGUCCUACGUGAUCUG
rnacentral:rRNA from 1 species